UACGGAGGGUGCAAGCGUUGUUCGGAAUCACUGGGCGUAAAGCGCGUGUAGGCGGCUAUCUAAGUCUGAUGUGAAAGCCCUGGGCUCAACUCAGGAAGUGCAUUGGAUACUGGAUAGCUGGAGUACCGGAGAGGAGGGUGGAAUUCCUGGUGUAGCGGUGAAAUGCGUAGAUAUCAGGAGGAACACCGGUGGCGAAGGCGGAUCUCUGGGCCAUUACUGACGCUGAGGAGCGAAAGCGUGGGGAGCAAACAGG
rnacentral:rRNA from 1 species